rnacentral:lncRNA from 1 species
UUGGUUUAAACAAAUUACUAGAUCUGAGUCAAGAAGAUGGAAGCAUGUUUUGGUAAUAAUGGAUACCCUUUCUUGCUUGUUGUAUAUGUAUACUUCUUUUGUAAUAUGAAUAUGAUGAUUGAAGUUAAAUUUUUAUUCAUGUUCUGCUAUCAUGAUCUGCUAUUGUUAAACUAAUAAUUUCUCAGGUUAGAGUACUCUUAGAGGUGACUCAAAUUACCCUUUAUAUAGUUUGAUACUUUAGCAUUAUUAUGGUCCAACAUAUUGCUAUGCAUCUAUUUCGGUACAGGCGAUUUAACUGAUAUUUUUCUAACAUGAACACACUUCGAUCUAAUCGAUAAAAUAGGCGCCAAUCUGUUCUUUUAUAUUUAUAUUUUCUAAGGGAUUCAUUAAUUAGAUUUAACCAGAAACUAAAGUACUGUACAUGUUAAAGAGGAGUAACUGACCUUAUUUAGAUCCAUGUGAAAUAAACCUCAAGCUUGUACACUCGAGGAGGAAUUAAUGUUUACCAUGAUACUAAUACCUUUUAAAUGAAGCUUUUUGUUGGAGAUGCACACAACUUUAAUUAGAUUCACAUAUAAGCUCUCUAUCUGACCAUAAUCUGAUAUCUAACUUGUAGUCUUGCUGUACAAUUAUUUUUUCCUUCUGGCAGGAAAAUGAUACAUCAAGAGCAGAAUCUAACACUAUAUAUGGAACACUCAUUUGAGCAAGAAAUCAUAACUAUUUUAAGUAGCGAAAGGAUGAUGAUGGGGAGGGCUGACAGCGCCACAACCUCGGACUUUCACCAAUUUCUUAGGCUAACAGUUGCUCACUGUUACAAUAAGGAUUAACAUGAUCCAUGCAGUUCAUCAAGAAUGUUUUCUUCAAAGAGUUUCAUUUGUGUGUCAUUAUUAUUAAUGUUGUUAAGAAAAUAUUAUCAUAUAAGCAUAAUUAAUAUUAUCAAUAAA